rfam:Triticum aestivum genome assembly, contig: Triticum_aestivum_CS42_TGACv1_scaffold_485230_6AS
AGCCAGUGAUGUUAUCAAAAUAUUUGCUACUCUUGAUGGGGCAAUAAGCCCCGUCUGAUGACCACAACCACCAAGAUCUCUGAGGCC